ACGGGUGAGUAACGCGUGGGAACAUACCCCUCGGUUCGGAAUAGCUCAGGGAAACUUGGAUUAAUACCGAAUACGGUCGAGAGGCGAAAGAUUUAUCGCCGAGGGAUUGGCCCGCGUCCGAUUAGCUAGUUGGUGAGGUAAUGGCUCACCAAGGCGACGAUCGGUAGCUGGUCUGAGAGGAUGAUCAGCCACAUUGGGACUGAGACACGGCCCAAACUCCUACGGGAGGCAGCAGUGGGGAAUAUUGGACAAUGGGCGAAAGCCUGAUCCAGCCAUGCCGCGUGAGUGAUGACGGCCUUAGGGUUGUAAAGCUCUUUCGUCAGGGACGAUAAUGACGGUACCUGAAGAAGAAGCCCCGGCUAACUUCGUGCCAGCAGCCGCGG
rnacentral:rRNA from 1 species